rnacentral:lncRNA from 1 species
UGACACGUUUAGAAUUUCCUUAUUAUUUUACGUGUAUAGAAAAUCCUAGUUUGUCGUAAUUUGAAUUGUCGAUUAUACAUGUGGUUGUUUUGUUGGUGUGUUUCGUUUUUAUUAACUCUAUAGUCCGUCGGAAAUGAAUAACAGUAUUUUACAAUCCAAACAAUUUAGGCCCGUUUUACUGAAAUCAUGAUAGAGGUUCCGUACUGGAAAGUUAUUGUAAAUCAAUACACGAGACUGGAUACAUGAACGUUCACAUACUUUAUUUUUCCAUCCAACAUAUAUACAAAAUUAAUCACAGUUCAUAAAGCAUAUUUACAAAACAGUAAUCAUGGCAACAUAUAUUAACUCGCCGCUGCUCGUAGAUCGAGAUCGGGGCGAACCGGUGCGUCACAUGGUUCUCUCUAUAUUUUUAUUCUCCUUUUUUCGUUUCAAAGUUAACCUUUAUAAAACAUGAUCAUAGAAACGUUUUGACCAAUGAAAAUAGAAAAAGGUUCUUAUAAACAAAUAGUUUCCAAACAAUGAAACAUUUUAAAAGCAGAUUAAAUUAAGACUUAGUGUUAAUUUACAUUAUUCACUUUAUAUACAGUUUAGGUGUUGACAAAUAAAUUACAUUGAUGACCAUUGUUGUCAAAAAGUAUUCUCACGACAUAGUCUUAAUCUUAAUCCAUAAAUAUUUCAUAGUAACGCUAAGACGACUAAUACAUGUCUUUUAUAAAAUUAUUGAAAAAAAGUUCAAAAUCUUGUUUUCUGAAUAAAAAGCACUUCUAGCGUAAUAAAAAUAUUGAAACUGAAUUACUCAUAAG